rnacentral:rRNA from 1 species
ACAAACACUAGCCCGACCUAAAUUAAACUCAACUAAUAUUAUUAAAUAAACCAAAACAUUUACCUUUAAUUUAAAAGUAUAGGAGAUAGAAAUUUUAAUUGGCGCUAUAGAGAAAGUACCGUAAGGGAAAGAUGAAAGACACGUUCAAAGUAAAAAACAGCAAAGAUUAACACUUGUACCUUUUGCAUAAUGAUUUAACCAGAAAAACUUGACAAAGAGAACUUAAGCCAAAUAACCCGAAACCAGACGAGCUACCCAAAAACAGCUAAAGAGCAAACUCAUCUAUGUGGCAAAAUAGUGAGAAGAUUUUUGGGUAGCGGUGAAAAGCCUAUCGAGCCUGGUGAUAGCUGGUUGUCCAGAACAGAAUUUAAGUUCAACUUUAAGUCUUGCCUAAAAGACUUCCAACUCAAAUGCAGACUUAAAAUAUAAUCUAAAAGGGUACAGCCUUUUAGAAACAGGAUACAACCUUUAGUAGAGGGUAAGUACAACAAAUUCCCAUAGUUGGCCUAGAAGCAGCCACCAAUUAAGAAAGCGUUCAAGCUCGACGACUCAAUAACCUUAAUCCAUACAACUACUAACUAACCCCUACCCUAAUACUGGACUAUUCUAUAAGUCUAUAGAAGAAAUACUGUUAAUAUGAGUAACAAGAACUAUGAUUCUCCCUGCACAAGCUUAUAUCAGAACGGAUAUCCACUGAUAAUUAACAGCAAAAUAUACCAACUCAACAACUAAAACAUAUAUUAAAUUAACUGUUAACCCAACACAGGAGUGCUACAAGGGAAAGAUUAAAAGAAGUAAAAGGAACUCGGCAAACACAAACCCCGCCUGUUUACCAAAAACAUCACCUCUAGCAUUACAAUUAUUAGAGGCACUGCCUGCCCAGUGACAUCUGUUAAACGGCCGCGGUAUCCUGACCGUGCAAAGGUAGCAUAAUCAUUUGUUCUCUAAAUAAGGACUUGUAUGAAUGGCCACACGAGGGUUUUACUGUCUCUUACUUCCAAUCAGUGAAAUUGACCUUCCCGUGAAGAGGCGGGAAUACCUAAAUAAGACGAGAAGACCCUGUGGAGCUUUAAUUAAUCAGUCCAUAAAUAAAACACAACAUCCAAGGAGACAAAACACUUUUAAACGGACUGACAAUUUAGGUUGGGGUGACCUCGGAACACAAAACAACUUCCGAGUGAUAAAAGUCCAGACCAACAAGUCUAAACACUUUAUCAUUUAUUGAUCCAAUUCUUUUUUGAUCAACGGAACAAGUUACCCCAGGGAUAACAGCGCAAUCCUAUUUGAGAGUCCCUAUCGAUAAUAGGGUUUACGACCUCGAUGUUGGAUCAGGACAUCCUAAUGGUGCAGCCGCUAUUAAUGGUUCGUUUGUUCAACGAUUAAAGUCCUACGUGAUCUGAGUUCAGACCGGAGCAAUCCAGGUCGGUUUCUAUCUAUUCUGCGUUCCUCCCAGUACGAAAGGACAAGAGAAACGAGGCCAACUUGUCACAAGCGCCUUAAAACCCAAUAGAUGAAUAUUAUCUCAAUCUAGCAGUCACACUCAAUAAGCCUUAGAAUAAGGUUAUC